UUCCGGUUGAUCCUGCCGGAUCCUACUGCUAUCGGGAUGAGACUAAAACAUGCUAGUUGAGCGCACCCAAGCUAUGUUGGGAGCGCAGCGAACGGCUCUGUAACACGUUGUCAAUCUGACCUUAGGAUAGGAAUAACCCCGGGAAACUGGGGCUAAUACCUGAUAGGCGAAAAAAUCUGGAAUGAUUUUUCACUUAAAGAGUUAUAGAAACAUGCUUCUUUAACUGCCUAAGGAUGAGACUGCGUCCGAUCAGGUUGUUGGUGGGGUGAUGGCCUACCAAGCCUAUAACCGGUACGGGCCCUGAGAGGGGGAGCCCGGAGAUGGGAACUGAGACAAGGUCCCAGACCCUACGGGGUGCAGCAGUUGCGAAACCUCUACAAUGCACGAAAGUGUGAUAGGGUUAUCCCGAGUGCCGUCCGAUGAGGAUGGCUUUUACCUGGUGUAAGGAGCCAGGAGAAUAAAGGGGGGGCAAGACUGGUGUCAGCCGCCGCGGUAAUACCAGCCCCCUGAGUGGUAGGGAUGAUUAUUUGGCCUAAAACGUCCGUAGCCGGCUCAGCAAGUCUUUCGUUAAAUCCGGUGACUUAAUCAUCGGGCUGCGAGAGAUACUACUAGGCUUGAGGGCGGGAGAGGUCGACGGUAUUCCGGGGGUAGGGGUAAAAUCCUAUAAUCCUCGGAGGACCACCAGUGGCGAAGGCGGUCGACUAGAACGUGCCUGACGGUGAUGGACGAAAGCUGGGGGAGCAAACCGGAUUAGACACCCGGGUAGUCCCAGCUGUAAACGAUGCGGGCUAGGUGUUGGGGCAGCUACGAGCUGCUCCAGUGCCGCAGAGAAGUCAUUAAGCCCGCUGCCUGGGAAGUACGGUCGCAAGACUGAAACUUAAAGGAAUUGGCGGGGGAGCACCACAAGGGGUGAAGCCUGCGGUUCAAUUGGAUUCAACGCCGGAA
rnacentral:rRNA from 1 species